rnacentral:rRNA from 1 species
ACUACGAGCCAAGCUUAAAACCCAAAGGACUUGACGGUACCCCACAUUCCCCCUAGAGGAGCCUGUCCUAUAAUCGAUAAUCCACGUUUAACCUCACCAUUUUUAGUUAAUCAGCCUGUAUACCUCCGUCGUCAGCUUACCACGUGAGCGUUCAUUAGUGAGCCCAAUGUAUUUCACCAGGACGUCAGGUCAAGGUGCAGUAAAUGAAAUGGAAUGAGAUGGGCUACACUUUCUACUUUAGAAGAAACGAAAAACUACCUAUGAAAUCUAGUUAGAAGGCGGAUUUAGUAGUAAAAAGGAAUCAGCAUAUCCAUUUUAACCCGGCA